rnacentral:tRNA from 1 species
AGUUAAAAAGCUAUUGAAUAAGCCCAAUGUCUUGAAAACAUUGUGAAAGAAGUUCAAGUCUUCUAUUAACUU